rfam:Salmo salar isolate Sally breed double haploid chromosome ssa12, whole genome shotgun sequence.
AUGUUUCAGAACUGUAAGUCGCUUUGGAUAAAAGCGUCUGCAAAAUGAGCAUAUU